UGCUCUUGUGACCGUUAGCUAAAUAUGUGUUUGUCAGUUCCACGGGAGCACUGUUUGAUCCUGGGUUGUUGUCGCUGGGCCCUGUACAAAAACCGAAGGGGAGGGCCCGGCCCCC